GCAAGUCGAGGGGCAGCGGGGGUAGCGAUACCCGCCUGCGACCGGCGCACGGGUGAGUAACGCGUAUUCAACUUGCCUAUCAGAUGGGGAUAACCCGGCGAAAGUCGGACUAAUACCGCAUGAAGCAGGGGCCCCGCAUGGGGGUAUUUGCUAAAGAUUCAUCGCUGAUAGAUAGGCAUGCGUUCCAUUAGGCAGUUGGCGGGGUAACGGCCCACCAAACCGACGAUGGAUAGGGGUUCUGAGAGGAAGGUC
rnacentral:rRNA from 1 species